rnacentral:rRNA from 1 species
GAUGAACGCUGGCGGCGUGCUUAACACAUGCCAGUCGAACGAAGCAUUUGCGACAGAUUUUUUCGGAAUGAAGUUGCUUAUGACUGAGUGGCGGACGUGUGAGUAACGCGUGGUUAACCUGCCUUGUACUGGGUGAUAGCAGCUGGAAACGGCUGGUAAUACCGCAUAAUCGCACAAUGUUGCAUGACAUGGUGUGAAAAACUCCGGUGGUAUAAGAUGGACCCGCGUCUGAUUAGCUAGUUGGUGAGAUAACAGCCAACCAAGGCGACGAUCAGUAGCCGAGCUGAGAGGGUGACCGGCCAGAUUGGGACUGAGACACGGACCAGAAUCCUACGGGAGGCAGCAGUGGGGAAUAUUGCACAAUGGAGGAAACUCUGAUGCAGCGACGCCGCGUGAGUGAAGAAGUAAUUCGUUAUGUAAAGCUCUAUCAGAAGGGAAGAUAGUGACGGUACCUGACUAAGAAGCUCCGGCUAAAUACGUG